GGAAAACGUUUAUGAUAAGACGGCGAAAUUCUAAUGCGGCGUAUACAUCAUAUACCACAGUGCGGUUCUAUCUGUCGUAUGUAUAGGUAUGACGUUCGGUUAUUGUUUGUUUCGCGCAUGUCCGUUAUCGCUGUUUGGGUUUUUCGUAAUGGCUCUCACGUGUUGUAUUUGCUCUUCCGCAAUUAAUCGAAAAACUGCUUCUGUUACUCGUGGAGACUAUAUGAAAAAUACAGUUCACAGUAGUCGUGCCCCUACUUCUGGGUCCUUCCCGAAAAAUGUCUUGUAAACAUGUAGUU